rnacentral:rRNA from 1 species
UAUGUGAUCGUCUCUCGCAUAUCAAUAAGCGGAGGAAAAGAAACUAACAAGGAUUCCCCUAGUAACGGCGAGUGAAGCGGGAAGAGCUCAAAUUUGAAAUCUUAAAGGGUUUCCCUUUACGAAUUGUAGUUUAAAGAAGUGUUUUCUGUUGAGGUUUUGGUAAAAGUUCUUUGGAGUAGGACAUCAUAGAGGGUGAGAAUCCCGUAUUUGACCUUUACUUUCAACUUUGUGAUACACUUUCAAAGAGUCGGAUUGUUUGGGAAUGCAGUCCAAAAUGGGUGGUAAAUUUCAUCUAAAGCUAAAUAUUGGCGAGAGACCGAUAGCGAACAAGUACCGUGAGGGAAAGAUGAAAAGAACUUUGAAAAGAGAGUUAAACAGUACGUGAAAUUGUCAAAAGGGAAGCGUUUGACACCAGUGUUGUUUUUCUGAAAAUCAAUUAAAGAACUGUUUAUGCUAAGUUGUUUAGACUUUAUCAGCUAUCUGUUUAGUUUUGAGCUUUUCUUUAAUGCACUUUUCAGUUAACAAGUCAACAUCAACUUCUUUUGCUGUAAAAAAGCUUGAGGAAGGUGGCUUGAGAUUCGUCUUAAGUGUUUAUAGCCUCUUGCCUAUGCAGUCGGAGAGAUUGAGGUCUGCAGCGUAGAUCCUUCGGGGCUAAAUGCAUUUGUGCUAAGUUAUAGCAUUUUAUAGACAACUUGUUGACUAUGAUUUGUCUUGUAGCUUACUCGCUUAUGUUAUUUUACCUACGCUUAGGAUGUUGAAGAUAUGCGCGACACG